rnacentral:rRNA from 1 species
UACGUAGGGGGCAAGCGUUGUCCGGAAUCAUUGGGCGUAAAGAGCGUGUAGGCGGCCCGGUAAGUCCGCUGUGAAAGUCAAGGGCUCAACCCUUGAAUGCCGGCGGAUACUGUCGGGCUAGAGUCCGGAAGAGGCGAGUGGAAUUCCUGGUGUAGCGGUGAAAUGCGCAGAUAUCAGGAGGAACACCAAUUGCGAAGGCAGCUCGCUGGGACGUUACUGACGCUGAGACGCGAAAGCGUGGGGAGCAAACAGG